rnacentral:rRNA from 1 species
CCUACGGGUGGCAGCAGUGGGGAAUAUUGCACAAUGGGGGAAACCCUGAUGCAGCAACGCCGCGUGAGUGAAGAAGUAUUUCGGUAUGUAAAGCUCUAUCAGCAGGGAAGAAAAUGACGGUACCUAAGUAAGAAGCCCCGGCUAACUACGUGCCAGCAGCCGCGGUAAUACGGAGGAUGCGAGCGUUAUCCGGAUUUAUUGGGUUUAAAGGGUGCGUAGGCGGACGCUUAAGUCAGCGGUAAAAUUGCGGGGCUCAACCUCGUCGAGCCGUUGAAACUGGGUGCCUUGAGUGGGCGAGAAGUACGCGGAAUGCGUGGUGUAGCGGUGAAAUGCAUAGAUAUCACGCAGAACUCCGAUUGCGAAGGCAGCGUACCGGCGCCCAACUGACGCUGAAGCACGAAGGCGUGGGUAUCGAACAGGAUUAGAUACCCCGGUAGUC